rnacentral:rRNA from 1 species
UACAGAGGUCUCGAGCGUUGUUCGGAUUUACUGGGCGUAAAGGGCGCGUAGGCGGUCAGCACAAGUCAGUUGUGAAAUCUCCGGGCUUAACUCGGAAAGGUCAACUGAUACUGUGCGACUAGAGUGCAGAAGGGGCAACUGGAAUUCUCGGUGUAGCGGUGAAAUGCGUAGAUAUCGAGAGGAACACCUGCGGCGAAGGCGGGUUGCUGGGCUGACACUGACGCUGAUGCGCGAAAGCCAGGGGAGCGAACGGG